GGACGACGCUGGCGGCGUGCUUCAAACAUGCAAGUCGAACGGAGUUAAUUUUGAAGCUUGCUUUAGAAUUAACUUAGUGGCGGACUGGUGAGUAACGCGUGAGUAAUCUGCCUAUCACAGGGGGAUAACAGAGGGAAACUUCUGCUAAUACCGCAUAAGACCACAGGAUGGCAUCAUCAAGGGGUCAAAGGUUAGAUCUGGUGAUAGAUGAGCUUGCGUAUCAUUAGCUAGUUGGUGAGGGUAAAGGCCCACCAAGGCGACGAUGAUUAGCCGAUCUGAGAGGAUGACCGGCCACACUGGGACUGAGAUACGGCCCAGACUCCUACGGGAGGCAGCAGUUAGGAAUAUUGGGCAAUGGAGGAAACUCUGACCCAGCAACGCCGCGUGAAGGAAGAAGGUUUUCGGACUGUAAACUUCUGUUCUCGUUGACGAAGACAGUGACGGUAAACGAGGAGCAAGCCACGGCUAACUACGUGCCAGCAGCCGCGGUAA
rnacentral:rRNA from 1 species